rnacentral:lncRNA from 1 species
GGAAAAGUGGUUAUUCAAGUUCCAAUGAUAAAAAGAGUUGUAUAUUUAUCUUCCCCACACAGAAAGCCAAAAAGAAGAGAUAGGGAGGAAGUGACAUGGUGCCUUAUGAAAGUUUGGUUAUGAAAAACCUUCUAGAGAAUUAACUUUGAGUCAACAUUCCCUACUCCUGUUGUUUUGAGAAGAGCCUAUUCUCUUCUUGAAAAAUAUGACAAGAAAAUCACGAAUACAUUCCAGUGCAGAAUAUUACUGGGGUCAAAAAGGACUGAAAAAAUUGACUUUCUGCAAGAAUCUGCAAAGGGAAAAACAUAAUGCCUUCCCAGUGGAGAUAUUUUCAAUCUUUGAAGGAGAAUUGGAAAAGUCUAAAGAAAUGUGACCCUUGUGAGGCCAGAAAGAUAAUAAAACUCAGAGAGGAUAGCCACUUCCUCAAGGACACAGAGUAAGUGAAGCAAGCCUGGACCUGAGCCCAGGCAGUCUCCAUCCAGAACCCAAGCUCUUAGUCAUUAUACCAAACCACCUGCCUUGAGACCUGUCUUGUUAUGCCUAACAUCUGAAAAAGGAAUUUAAAACUAUUUCUUGUUAAAUUUUUUUCUGACUAUUAAAUCUAUGAUAAGU